CUUGGUCAUUUAGAGGAAGUAAAAGUCGUAACAAGGUUUCCGUAGGUGAACCUGCGGAAGGAUCAUUAAAAGUCAUUAUUUAUAUGAAACCCCCUCUGUGUAUUUUUACCUGUUUAUUGGUAUCUGGUAGAAUAGAGUAUUGAAAUUCUCCAGAACAAAAGAUAUAAACUAUUAUUCACAAUGGUAUUUGUCUGAUAUGUUAUAAAAAAAUAAAUGUUAAAACUUUCAACAACGGAUCUCUUGGUUCUCGCAUCGAUGAAGAACGCAGCGAAAUGCGAUAAGUAGUGUGAAUUGCAGAAUUCAGUGAAUCAUCGAAUCUUUGAACGCACAUUGCGCCUUCUAGUAUUCUGGGAGGCAUGCCUGUUUGAGUGUCAUUAAACCUCUCUCAAGUAAGUUUACUUGGAUAUGAAGGAAGAGUAUCUUCAAUUUAAGGUGCUCUCCUUUGAAAUUUAUUAGCAGAUGGUAAAGUUAUUAAUCCCUGAUGUUGUAAGAAAUAACAGUGGCUUUGUAUACUUAUUAUCUAGCUUCAAAUACCAAUCUUUUAUUUUUUAAUGGUGACCUCAAAUCAG
rnacentral:rRNA from 1 species